rnacentral:rRNA from 1 species
UCGAGAAUCUUCGGCAAUGGGCGCAAGCCUGACCGAGCGACGCCGCGUGGGGGACGAAGGCCUUCGGGUUGUAAACCCCUGUCGAGGGGGAAGAAGGGGCGGCAAAACCCUUGACUGAUCCCUGGAGGAAGCACGGGCUAAGUUCGUGCCAGCAGCCGCGGUAAGACGAACCGUGCGAACGUUAUUCGGAAUCACUGGGCUUAAAGCGCGUGUAGGCGGGGCGGCACGUCGGCCGCUGAAAUCCCCCGGCUCAACCGGGGAAGCGGCGCCGAUACGACCGCCCUGGAGGGGCGUAGGGGGAGCUGGAACUUCCGGUGGAGCGGUGAAAUGCGUUGAGAUCGGAAGGAACGCCCGUGGCGAAAGCGAGCUCCUGGACGCCUGCUGACGCUGAGACGCGAAAGCCAGGGGAGCGAACGGGAUUAGAUACCCCUGUAGUCC